rnacentral:rRNA from 1 species
CACUCCUACGGGAGGCAGCAGUGGGGAAUAUUGGACAAUGGGCGCAAGCCUGAUCCAGCCAUGCCGCGUGAGUGAUGAAGGCCCUAGGGUUGUAAAGCUCUUUCACCGGAGAAGAUAAUGACGGUAUCCGGAGAAGAAGCCCCGGCUAACUUCGUGCCAGCAGCCGCGGUAAUACGAAGGGGGCUAGCGUUGUUCGGAAUUACUGGGCGUAAAGCGCACGUAGGCGGAUCGAUCAGUCAGGGGUGAAAUCCCAGGGCUCAACCCUGGAACUGCCUUUGAUACUGUCGAUCUGGAGUAUGGAAGAGGUGAGUGGAAUUCCGAGUGUAGAGGUGAAAUUCGUAGAUAUUCGGAGGAACACCAGUGGCGAAGGCGGCUCACUGGUCCAUUACUGACGCUGAGGUGCGAAAGCGUGGGGAGCAAACAGGAUUAGAUACCCCAGUAGUCCC